AGCCUGUGAACAGGAUUUAGCACUUGGAAGGAACCCAAGACAGAGCAUGAGAAAGGCUGUUGUGGCACAGAUGAACUCUGUGAGCAUGGAUGAACUCUUACAUCCUCUAGGACUUUGUGACCUUGCAACGAUGGACACAGAGAUUUGAUUUAGAGCAUUCGGUGAAACGACUUCUAGCUGAUGCAUGCUACAGACUUCACAGGAUCCACAUGAUUGCUGGUUCUGAGGAAAAAACAAGGCCCCAUCUAUAGAUAUCCUACUUGCAUGAAAAAGGGGCCAUAAAGAGACAUAGUCACCAUUUAAUUAAAACUAAGAUAGCAUAAGGGUAAGAGAUAAGUGUUUGAAAACUAAUGCUUUUAUCUUGUUAAACUGUGCACUGAGAUUAAUGUUUAACAACAUCUUAUAGUUCUAUGAUGCAUGUUGGAUUAUGACUCAACAAUGACAUUUGAACGAUCCAUACAGUGCAAACCUGAAGUCUACUGCAAAAGAGAAAUUAAAUAUAAUGAAAAUAGAAACAAACAAACAAAAAACGACUUAGAAUGUCUUAGAGGUCCCCUUUUUAUAUUGUAUUGUGUAGUAAUGACUCAAGAAAACUAAUGAAGAGAAUAACAGGCAAGAAGACCAGUGGGUAUUUUGGUUAGUUCCUGGUACAACUAAGGAAACCACAAAACCACAUCACUCUCUAUUCUGCUCAACCAGUUACAACAGAAAACAUUUCUGAUUUUGUUUCUAGAACUGCAA